AACGAACGCUGGCGGCAUGCCUAACACAUGCCAGUCGAACGAGACCUUCGGGUCUAGUGGCGCACGGGUGCGUAACGCGUGGGAACCUGCCCUUAGGUUCGGAAUAACUCCCCGAAAGGGGUGCUAAUACCGGAUAAUGUCUUCGGACCAAAGAUUUAUCGCCUUUGGAUGGGCCCGCGUUGGAUUAGCUAGUUGGUAGGGUAAAAGCCUACCAAGGCGACGAUCCAUAGCUGGUCUGAGAGGAUGAUCAGCCACACUGGGACUGAUACACGGCCCAGACUCCUACGGGAGGCAGCAGUGGGGAAUAUUGGACAAUGGGCGAAAGCCUGAUCCAGCAAUGCCGCGUGAGUGAUGAAGGCCUUAGGGUUGUAAAGCUCUUUUACCCGGGAUGAUAAUGACAGUACCGGGAGAAUAAGCUCCGGCUAACUCCGUG
rnacentral:rRNA from 1 species